AAACCAACAGGGAUUGCCUCAGUAACGGCGAGUGAAGCGGCAAAAGCUCAAAUUUGAAAUCUAGCACCUUCGGUGUUCGAGUUGUAAUUUGAAGAUGGUAACCUUGGGUUUGGCUCUUGUCUAUGUUCCUUGGAACAGGACGUCAUAGAGGGUGAGAAUCCCGUCUGAUGAGAUGCCCAUUCCUAUGUAAGGUGCUAUCGAAGAGUCGAGUUGUUUGGGAAUGCAGCUCUAAGUGGGUGGUAAAUUCCAUCUAAAGCUAAAUAUUGGCGAGAGACCGAUAGCGAACAAGUACAGUGAUGGAAAGAUGAAAAGAACUUUGAAAAGAGAGUGAAAAAGUACGUGAAAUUGUUGGAAGGGAAGGGCAUUAGAUCAGACUUGGUGUUUUACGAUUAUCUUCUCUUCUUGAGUUGUGCACUCGUAUUUCACUGGGCCAGCAUCGAUUCGGAUGGCAAGAUAAUGGCAGUUGAAUGUGGCUUCACUUCGGUGGAGUGUUAUAGCUUCUGCUGAUAUUGCCUGUCUGGAUCGAGGGCUGCGUCUUUUGACUAGGAUGCUGGCGUAAUGAUCUAAUGCCGC
rnacentral:rRNA from 1 species